rnacentral:rRNA from 1 species
UACAGAGGUCUCAAGCGUUUGUUCGGAUUCAUUGGGCGUAAAGGGUGCGUAGGCGGCGCGGUAAGUCGGGUGUGAAAUCUCGGAGCUUAACUCCGAAACUGCAUUCGAUACUGCCGUGCUUGAGGACUGGAGAGGAGACUGGAAUUUACGGUGUAGCGGUGAAAUGCGUAGAUAUCAUGAAGAAGACCAGUGGCGAAGGCGGAUCGUCCUG